rnacentral:rRNA from 1 species
UACGAAGGGAGCUAGCGUUGUUCGGAAUCACUGGGCGUAAAGCGCAUGUAGGCGGAUGUGUCAGUCAGGGGUGAAAUCCCGGAGCUCAACUUCGGAACUGCCUUUGAUACAGCACGUCUUGAGUCCGAUAGAGGUGGGUGGAAUUCCUAGUGUAGAGGUGAAAUUCGUAGAUAUUAGGAAGAACACCGGUGGCGAAGGCGGCCCACUGGAUCGGUACUGACGCUGAGGUGCGAAAGCGUGGGGAGCAAACAGG